GAUGAAGAACGCAGCGAAAUGCGAUACUUGGUGUGAAUUGCAGAAUCCCGUGAACCAUCGAGUCUUUGAACGCAAGUUGCGCCCGAAGCCAUUAGGCCGAGGGCACGCCUGCCUGGGCGUCACACGUCGUUGCCCCCCCAUCUACUCCUUCGGGGUUGCGGGGGGCGGAUGAUGGCCUCCCGUGCGCCUCGUCGCGCGGUUGGCAUAAAUGCCAAGUCCUCGGCGACGCACGCCACGACAAUCGGUGGUUGCGAAACCUCGGUUGCCCGUCGUGUGCGGUCGUCGCGCAUCGAGGGCUCGAAAAAAUUGCCGGGCUCCGGCUCGGCUUUCAACGCGACCCCAGGUCAGGCGGGGUUACCCGCUGAAUUUAAGCAUAUCAAUAAGCGGAGGA
rnacentral:misc_RNA from 1 species